ACGGAGGGUGCAAGCGUUAUUCGGAAUUACUGGGCGUAAAGCGCGUGUAGGCGGUCCUGCAAGUCUGAUGUGAAAGCCCCGGGCUUAACCCGGGAAGUGCAUUGGAAACUGUGGGACUUGAGUACUGGAGAGGAUGGGGGAAUUCCCGGUGUAGAGGUGAAAGGCGUAGAGAUCGGGAGGAAGGCCGAUUGCGAUGGCAGCUAACUAAACCACAACUGACGCUCGGGCGGGAAAGCGUGGGGAUCAAAAAG
rnacentral:rRNA from 1 species